UAAUGAUGAGAUUAGAAACGCUGAUUAUAACUCUCUUGAAAGAAAUUUGAAAACAACCUUCUUUCCCCUACUGACU
rnacentral:snoRNA from 14 species